GGUGGUCAACCCGGUCUUUAUGCAAUACGUCCAUGAAGCAUGGCUGGAAAAGAAGGGCUAUUUUCCUUCCACUGGAUUUAUGACUUUGGUUCUGGCCAUGCAUCUUUGUGAUGAGUUACACGUGUUUGGUUUUGGAGCAGAUGAAAAUGGAGACUGGAACCAUUACUGGUCCUUAAACGCUUGGAAGCUUGUCAGAACUGGAGGCCAUCCCGGAGCAUUUGAGUACCAAACCAUCGAGAAGCUGGGGGAGCAUCGAAUAAUCCGCUUUUAUCGAGGCUGGGGUCCUCAUGCUCUUCAUUUAAUGAACAAGGAGAGCAAAGUGUGAGGCUGAAGACAUGGGACUAAUUAUUCAUCAUCAGGGAUGUGAAAUGAGUCAUUUUAAGUUAAUCACAAUUAAUCAUACUUUUCAUUGAAUGUUUGAAAUUCACAGUUUUUAUGCUUUUAUUUUGUAUUUUUGCUGGGGGUACUUUAGUUGCUGUUUUAAUUGAACCCUGCUUUUAUUUUUGAAAUAAAGUAAGGAACCAGAGUGACCACGCCCCUGUGUGGACAAAAACUGCCCUGAGAAUGUUUUGGUGGUAGAUUAGAAAACAGCGUCUGGAAAGCAAUGAAAUGGUAGAGCGCGGCUUUUUGCACUUUGAUGUCAAACAACAUGGAGGAGGGAGGAGGAGAAGAGCUCUUUCUCUUUCUCUUUCUGCUGGACAUAGUUUAGUUAUUUAAGUGAAUAAUUUAUGAUGUCCUUUGGAGUGUACCGACGUCGUCUUCUUCUAAUGAGUGUUCGACAGGCUCUGUAAAGUGUGAUCCUGCCCCCUGGAGGCUAAGUGGUUGUCAUGCAGCGCCUCAACCUUUUCAGUCAGAACGGAGGAGU